UACGUAGGGACCAAGCGUUGUUCGGAUUUACUGGGCGUAAAGGGCGCGUAGGCGGCAAUUCAAGUCAUCUGUGAAAUCUCCGAGCUUAACUCGGAACGGUCAGAUGAUACUGCUUUGCUAGAGUGCAGAAGGGGCAACCGGAAUUCUUGGUGUAGCGGUGAAAUGCGUAGAUAUCAAGAGGAACACCGGAGGUGAAGACGGGUUGCUGGGCUGACACUGACGCUGAGGCGCGAAAGCUGGGGUAGCAAACGGG
rnacentral:rRNA from 1 species